rnacentral:rRNA from 1 species
AGUGAACGCUGGCGGUAGGCCUAACACAUGCAAGUCGAACGGCAGCACAGUAAGAGCUUGCUCUUACGGGUGGCGAGUGGCGGACGGGUGAGGAAUACAUCGGAAUCUACUUUUUCGUGGGGGAUAACGUAGGGAAACUUACGCUAAUACCGCACACGACCUACGGGUGAAAGCAGGGGAUCUUCGGACCUUGCGCGAUUGAAUGAGCCGAUGUCGGAUUAGCUAGUUGGCGGGGUAAAGGCCCACCAAGGCGACGAUCCGUAGCUGGUCUGAGAGGAUGAUCAGCCACACUGGAACUGAGACACGGUCCAGACUCCUACGGGAGGCAGCAGUGGGGAAUAUUGGACAAUGGGCGCAAGCCUGAUCCAGCCAUACCACGUGGGUGAAGAAGGCCUUCGGGUUGUAAAGCCCUUUUGUUGGGAAAGAAAAGCAGCAGGUUAAUACCCCGCUGUUCUGACGGUACCCAAAGAAUAAGCACCGGCUAACUUCGUG